rnacentral:rRNA from 1 species
CGAACGGAGCGCUUGAGAGGAUGUAAAACAGCUUAGUGGCGGACGGGUGAGUAACGCGUGGGAACCUGCCUCACACUGGGGGAUAACAGUUAGAAAUAGCUGCUAAUACCGCAUAAGCGCACGGUUCCGCAUGGAACAGUGUGAAUCCGGUGGUGUGAGAUGGACCCGCGUCUGAUUAGCCAGUUGGCGGGGUAACGGCCCACCAAAGCGACGAUCAGUAGCCGGCCUGAGAGGGUGAACGGCCACAUUGGGACUGAGACACGGCCCAAACUCCUACGGGAGGCAGCAGUAGGGAAUUUUCGGCAAUGGGGGAAACCCUGACCGAGCAACGCCGCGUGAGCGAAGAAGGCCUUCGGGUCGUAAAGCUCUGUUGUAAAGGAAGAACGGCGCAUACAGGAAAUGGUAUGCGAGUGACGGUACUUUACCAGAAAGCCACGGCUAACUACGUGCCAGCAGCCGCGGUAAUACGUAGGUGGCGAGCGUUAUCCGGAAUCAUUGGGCGUAAAGAGGGAGCAGGCGGCCGCAAGGGUCUGUGGUGAAAGACCGAAGCUAAACUUCGGUAAGCCAUGGAAACCGGGCGGCUAGAGUGCGGAAGAGGAUCGUGGAAUUCCAUGUGUAGCGGUGAAAUGCGUAGAUAUAUGGAGGAACACCAGUGGCGAAGGCGACGGUCUGGGCCGCAACUGACGCUCAUUCCCGAAAGCGUGAGGAGCAAAUAGGAUUAGGUACCCUAGUAGUCCACGCCGUANACGAUGGUCACUA